rnacentral:rRNA from 1 species
AACGAACGCUGGCGGCAUGCCUAACACAUGCAAGUCGAACGAGACCUUCGGGUCUGGUGGCGCACGGGUGCGUAACGCGGGGGAACCUGCCCUUAGGUUCGGAAUAACUCCCCGAAAGGGGUGCUAAUACCGGAUAAUGUCGCCGGACCAAAGGUUUAUCGCCUUUGGAUGGGCCCGCGUUGGAUUAGCUAGUUGGGAGGGUAAAAGCGUACCAAGGCGACGAUCCAUAGCUGGUCUGAGAGGAUGAUCAGCCACACUGGGACUGGGACACGGCCCAGACUCCUACGGGAGGCAGUAGUGGGGAAUAUUGGACAAUGGGCGAAAGCCUGAUCCAGCAAUGCCGCGUGAGUGAUGAAGGCCUUAGGGUUGUAAAGCUCUUUUACCCGGGAUGAUAAUGACAGUACCGGGAGAAUAAGCUCCGGCUAACUCCGUG